UUUGACCCAACACGAGAAAACUCACCCGGCCUGGACACUGAGGAUUGACAGAUUGAUAGCUCUUUCUUGAUUUGGUGGGUGAUGGUGCAUGGCCGUUCAUAGUUGGUGAAGUAAUUUUUCUGGUUAACUCCGUUAUUGGAUACACUAGCGUAACCGGCUCCGAAUAGAAAGACAGCUGUACGCUCAUAUAUGUAUAUAUAAUGUAUUUCUUUCUUAAAACUUUAAACUACAUAUUCAACUAGUGAUAUGCGUCUCGUUUCUCAGAG
rnacentral:ncRNA from 1 species